CCUACGGGGGGCAGCAGUGGGGAAUAUUGGACAAUGGGGGCAACCCUGAUCCAGCCAUGCCGCGUGUGUGAAGAAGGCCCUCGGGUUGUAAAGCACUUUCAGUGAGGAAGAACGCCUGGUGGUUAAUACCCAUCAGGAAAGACAUCACUCACAGAAGAAGCACCGGCUAACUCCGUGCCAGCAGCCGCGGUAAUACGGAGGGUGCGAGCGUUAAUCGGAAUUACUGGGCGUAAAGCGCGCGUAGGUGGCUUGAUAAGCCGGUUGUGAAAGCCCCGGGCUCAACCUGGGAACGGCAUCCGGAACUGUCAAGCUAGAGUGCAGGAGAGGAAGGUAGAAUUCCCGGUGUAGCGGUGAAAUGCGUAGAGAUCGGGAGGAAUACCAGUGGCGUAGGCGGCCUUCUGGACUGACACUGACACUGAGGUGCGAAAGCGUGGGUAGCAAACAGGAUUAGAUACCCUGGUAGUC
rnacentral:rRNA from 1 species